rnacentral:rRNA from 1 species
GACGAACGCUGGCGGCACGCCUAACACAUGCAAGUCGAACGGACUUAAACGGAGCUUGCUCUUUUUAAGUUAGUGGCGGACGGGUGAGUAACACGUGAGCAACCUGCCUUUCUGAGGGGGAUAACGUUUGGAAACGAACGCUAAUACCGCAUAACAUAUAUUUAUCGCAUGAUAGAUAUAUCAAAGGAGCAAUCCGCAGAAAGAUGGGCUCGCGUCUGAUUAGCUAGUUGGUGAGGUAAUGGCUCACCAAGGCAACGAUCAGUAGCCGGACUGAGAGGUUGAACGGCCACAUUGGGACUGAGACACGGCCCAGACUCCUACGGGAGGCAGCAGUGGGGAAUAUUGCACAAUGGGGGAAACCCUGAUGCAGCGAUGCCGCGUGGAGGAAGAAGGUUUUCGGAUUGUAAACUCCUGUCUUCAGGGACGAUAAUGACGGUACCUGAGGAGGAAGCACCGGCUAACUACGUG